rnacentral:rRNA from 1 species
GUAGGUGGCAAGCGUUGUCCGGAAUUAUUGGGCGUAAAGCGCGCGCAGGCUGUUCUUUAAGUCUGAUGUGAAAGCCCACGGCUCAACCGUGGAGGGUCAUUGGAAACUGGAGAACUUGAGUACAGAAGAGGAAAGCGGAAUUCCACGUGUAGCGGUGAAAUGCGUAGAGAUGUGGAGGAACACCAGUGGCGAAGGCGGCUUUCUGGUCUAUAACUGACGCUGAGGCGCGAAAGCGUGGGGAGCAAACAGGAUUAGAUACCCUGGUAGUCCACGCCGUAAACGAUGAGUGCUAAGUGUUAGGGGGUUUCCGCCCCCCUUAGUGCUGCAGCUAACGCAUUAAGCACUCCGCCUGGGAGUACGGCCGCAAGGCUG